UACGGGGGGAGCAAGCGUUGUUCGGAUUUACUGGGCGUAAAGGGCGCGUAGGCGGCCACCGCAAGUCGACUGUGAAAUCUCUGGGCUUAACCCAGAACGGUCAGCCGAUACUGCGGGGCUAGAGUGCAGAAGGGGCAACUGGAAUUCUCGGUGUAGCGGUGAAAUGCGUAGAUAUCGAGAGGAACACCUGCGGCGAAGGCGGGUUGCUGGGCUGACACUGACGCUGAGGCGCGAAAGCUAGGUGAGCGAACGGG
rnacentral:rRNA from 1 species